UAUCCUCAUCCGUACAUUUGAAUCUCGCAGGACAGCUUCCGCCAAGCCCAUUAAAAUACUUUUGAGCAGGAUUCGGAUACCUAACCACUUUGUCCUACUUAGUGAGCAAAUUCACCCCCCAAUGAAAAAGAGGACAUGGGCUACAGUGGGACUACCACAUACUACCAAAAGUGUGUCAAUUAUUUGUAUGUGUUAUAUUUCUUUUUUUAACAAAAUUAUUUAUACAUACGUUCUUAGAUGCAAUAAAUGUUGUAUAAUGUCGGUUAUAACAGGUAACAAUAUAACAUUAACACUUUAGAGCUAUUAUUCCAACAAGACCAAUAAAUAAAUAGAAAAUAACAACUAAUUAAGAGGCUUGGAUAGGAUCAUCGAUCGUAGUCAUUUUAAACAACUACAACAGGCGAUGAAUGCUUUACACAUUGCCCUUGAAGAGAUGACAUGUGCAUAUUUGUAACAUUUCAAUGAGAUCAUAUUAUAUGGCAUUCUGUAAUAUUCCUACAUCUGUUCCUGAUAGUAUAUUAUAUUUCACUUAUGUUCCAGAUCAGCAACUGCCUCUUGGAUAAAGGCGACGGUAGUAGUGGUGAAACAAGACUCGAUGUGACAGAGACCAGGGAUGCUGUCAUCACCAUCUCACCUACACUAUCAGUGAGGCCUCCUAAGAUUGUAAGUGCUGAUUCUGAUGUAAAUUUAAUCUUUUCUUUGAGAUCAGAGGUGAGAUAUGGUUAGUUAUUUUUUGACCAAUAUAUUAAAUGGUCAUUAUCUCUUUGCAGAUGGAGCAAGAAGAACAUUUCAAAAAGUAGAAGAAGCCUCGUCACGACGACAAGACACAAACCACCUCAACACCUGAGAAAAACGAAGUGAACUGUUCCGGUGCUGCUGCUCCUGCAGAUGAAACGAUGGACCUUGAUCUGACGUCACUCGAUGAUACAGUCAACCAUACAUCAGUAGAAAUAAUAGCACCUCUCGUGUCCACCAUGGAGGAUUCAUCAACAGUUCCCCACCGGCCACACUCCAGUUCAUCCACAAGUAGCUAUUGUCGAAUACACUGGCAGGUUUCCCGAGGUAGGCCUAUUUCUUGUGUGUAAAGGUUGCAAAUCUCUGUAAUAAUUUUGUCAAGAAUGAAAUAUAAAUCUAAAUAUUCUAAAUAGUAGUCUUUCAGUCAAAAACUGCUCAAAGGCGCUUCUGUUUUCCCCCGAUCUAACGAGCUGUAUGCGUUCAUUGUCGUCAGUCAUUUUGUUGAUCAAUGUGACCAUACGCCCUUAUACUGCCAAUAAAAGUGACAAAUGCGCAAGCUUACGAAGCACAGGUCUAGAUUUCUGCUAUAUACUCACGGGGAGAAAACAAUAAAAAGGCUUUAGAUCAGUGACCCUUUAAGAAAAUCCGCACCGAUCAAUCCUAGAUGUGUCACAAAAGUUGAAAAAAGAACAAGAAACAUUUUCCGUAUAACACUUAACAGGUUCGUAAGUGUGAGCCGUUAUGAUCCACUAUAAGUGAUCUAUUAUAUAUGAUUCAUAACUACCGCGAUAAUAUAGCGUACAAUCCUACAUCUGCAUGGUCUUGGCGAGAAAGUCCUCU